GUGAACUCUAGCUGAUUAGAUCCGUUGGUGGAGGGACCCAAGUUCACCGGCCUCAUGGGCGCCGGCACCGCCGGCCACGACCUCGGCGGCGGCUACUACGACAUGGCGUUCUACCGCAAGCUCGAGGAAGGAUCCAACAUAUCCAACAUGUCCAUCGACAGCGCUGCCACCAACGGCAUGUCGCUCGAAAACAGCAGCGUCGGCUCCAGCGACUCCCACACCGGGAUCCUCAACCACCCCGGCCUCCGCCCCGUCCCCGCCGCCAACUACUCCGUCGGCCACAGCGUGCUCCGCCCCGGCCGGGUCUCGCACGCGCUAACGGAUGACGCUCUCGCGCAGGCGCUGAUGGACCCGCGGCACCCCACCGAGACGCUGGAGAACUACGACGAAUGGGCAAUUGACCUCCCGAAGCUGAACAUGGGGAUGGCGUUCGCGCAGGG
rnacentral:misc_RNA from 1 species